AGUCCAGAGGAGCUCUGCGGCUGGAUUCUGACCACGGACUACUUCGUCCCUACUUGCAGAGAAGGGUUAUGCUGACACGGAAGGAGGGACUUGGAGAGGGGAGAUUAACCUUUCGCUGGCCACGAUUCGUUCCCUCUUAUCGCGGAGGAUUCGGCAACCCACCCCCCUCCCACCCAGCCUAUCUUUCUGAAUUGCUGAAAGCAUAAUGCUCCCAUAUGAGAGAUAAUGUUGCUGUAAAAGACAGGAGGAUCUGUCUGCGUGUUUGAGGUGCGGCCUGAUGUCAUCCUUCGGGGCGGUGCCCACAUGGAAACCAAGCAAAACUCUCUGGAGCUUUCCCAAAAAAGUUUCUUCCAAGCAUUAAGGCCGUGAUGUCAGUCAACUUCAGAGAAACAGCAUCAGAUCACCUGAGAAUCAGCAUGCAAGCCUCAGGUUUGAAAGGCACCAGGACACCUGCAAGAGGAGCCCCAGUUGUUCCUCCUCCAUGAUGAGGCUCAUACAGAGGUGCAGCCCCUCAGAUGGUGACAGGGGGACAGCAACCAGUGCCCUCACAGCACUGUCACUGUGUGUGACCAUGUUCAUGAAACAGGGAUGGGAAGUGCUGCCUGGACUGCCCCCAGCAGAAAGCCCCGUGGUGUCCCUUCCCCGCUGGUGCAGAGGCUCCGGGCUGCCACCGCAGAUCAUUUGACAAAUUUCACGGGCUUUUGAUACAGGCACAAAGGUUCACAGCCUGCUCUUGUCUAGUUGGUGAGACCGUCCAGCCCCUCUUGUGUCAUUUGUGGUGGCAUUACAGACUUUGAGAACAAUCUGAAGGACAAACCCCAAGCUGUUUGGAUGCUGCUCAGCCCAAAAUACGAUUUUAUCGUGAGAGAGGCAUCACAAAGACUGAGUACAACAUAAUGGCAAGCCAGAGCUAUUCCGACGUGAGUGUGUUCUCUGCACUGCAAUGCAGGGAUGGAGCUAAGGAUGAGCAAUGGGAGCACUGUCAGGAUUACAGCCAGGAGCAGCCCUGCUGGUCGGAUGGGCAGAUGACGGCACCGACAGAGGCUUCCCAGUGUGACACCCCAAGGCUGCCCCUUCCUGGGGCCAACGUCCUCAUCCCGCAGCUGUUUUCUCAGGCUACAAUAUGUGAGGAAAGCUGAUGCUGCUGUGCUGCUUAACUGGCAAGAAUUUGAAAAGAGGAAGCAAUUCGCAAGUGUAGGUGUACUUUGGUAUUAGUUAAUAUUUAUUUGUUUGUGUUAUUCUGUAUUUAUUCCCUUAUUAGCAGACAGUCCUACCUGGAGACUGAGCUUUCUACCAAUUUCUGAGGUUUGCUCUUCAGAAGUUCUAACACUGGAAGACAUUUUUCAACACGAGCCUGUAACUUAGGAGUGGAAAACAGGAAAAUAUGGAAUCAAAACCCUAUGGAAUUUUUUCCCUUAAGGUGGCAGAGCAGUUUUCGUAUCCCCAAAUAUCCAUGCUUUGCCAAAAUAGUAAUUCAGAUCAGAAAACAGUAGCUAUAUUGCCUGUUUCAGCAGUAGAAACAAUCAUGGGCCUCCACAUGCACACAGAUACAAGCACACACAUCCUAACAGCAGCACUGGGCUUAAAGAAAGACAACUAAGUAAAAAUGAGACUAAUGAGGCAUUUGAAAAAGAAUAUAGAAAUGUUUGGACCCUGAGCAUUAAAGGUGUUUAUUAAGUGCUGCAUACACCUUUCUGAGUAAUGCUUUAAUUGACAUAUUAUUUCUCAGGCAAAAUCCUACUGAAUUAACUUAGUGCCACCAUUUAAACCCCAUUUUCAAUGCUGGUUCUGUGUCACAUUACACUAACAUGGACCUAUAUUCCUGUCUUUGAUCUCAUGGACUAGAUCUGGGUAAUGAAGGAGAUGGAACAGGAAUUCAUGUUCAAGAGGAACAACUGAAGGCCGGCUCUCCUUUGCAGAGGCACUCUGAGAAGCAGAGAAAACAAAGGCCAGUGGCACAGAGAGGACUGUAAGUUAAAGAAUUACUUCCCUCUCUGUUGGGUUUUAAGCCAGGACAAGGAGGUAAGAGUCAUAUGACCAACUUUACAACCACAAGAAUCUCCCAAAAUGGCCCCAAACUUUUGCUAUUCCAGCAGUAGAUCCUCAGGUAGGGAGUCCAUGACUCCCAGUUAAUGGCUUAGUGAGGCAGUGACCAGUUUGGCACUCAAGGGGAAAAGGGAAGACUUGGUGGUGACAGUGCCAGCAGACUCAUUUUUCAAAAGAAGAACUUGUUUUCCAGAAAAAAAAAUAAAGACCUUUGGGUUGAAUGCUGUUUCCACCCUUACUAAUCAGGCCUUGACUAAGAAAAGUCCAAAUAAACUGAUCAUAAAUUAAGUCAUCCCCAUUGUGAGCAUGAACACACGUACCUGGCCAAGGCAGGCAAAAGCAGAUUGAUGAAACAACAAAGUUCACCUUGUUUUCUGAGCUGAAAGCUCACGCUGUUUCUUGGCAGAACAGGCAUGUCAGGCCUGUAAUAACCACUUGCUACCUUGCUUCAAUCAGCAUUGAAAACAGCACAAUAUUAACAUCUUGGGGAAAAUCCAUCUGGAAACUGCUUUCUGGGGUAAAAAAAUGAAAGGGAGAUAACGGAAUACCACACCCCCUGAUUAUUUAUUUGUUGAUUUCACAGUAACUUUAAGGAACUGAAAAUUUCUCUCCCCAUCGCCUGAAAAUUUUGUAUUUCAAACAUUUUCUGUCCAUUCAGCUGAAUUCCUGUUCAGAAAGAAGUGGCAAAGAACAGCCGUUCUUCACCUGAAGGACAACCACUUGUCUGGCAGAGGCAGAGCUCUUCAAAAGUUACCAGAGUGAAGGUUCCUGUUUACAAUGGUGAAGAGUAACUCACGUAAACUCCUAAAGGACCCAUGAGCAUUGGCUGACUAACUAUUUAGCAGAAUGAGAAGAAUAAGCAUCAGGUAACGGGAUACAAGUGGAAAACUCUCUGUGAUGCCCAUGAAACCCCCUCUUUCAAUGCCAGGGUUAUGGGACUGACUGCAGGACUCAUUUUUGCUCAGUGUUGGGUCACCGCAUAUGACAACAACAGUUAAGAAGAAAUUUGGUUGAUGCCUCAUUUCGAGGGGCUCUAGUACUGCCAGCCUCCUGACUCCAGACAUCCCGGACAGAGCAGCUGAUCCUCAGCACGGCAGCAGGGACAAGGUACCCGGAGGCUGUGCAGGUCCCACCCAAGGGAGAAUUAGGUGAGGAUGCUGAGCUUUGCUUUGCUUUGCUCCACCUUCUGAACAGAAAGGUUCUGCUUCUUGGGUGAAUUUUGUUCAGCAGCCCCCAGCCACACCAUGGGAGCAAAAACUUUGAAACCUCCUGGCUGAGGAGCUUGGCACUAAAGCUCCAACCUGUGACCUGGGUCAAGGUUUUAUCAGCCGUCAAGAAACAGCUCUUGUAGUACAUGAAUGGCCAACUCAACUGCUUGGAGAAAGGAGCUGAUUCAGGCUGCCAAUAUUGGCUCUUACACAGAUAAUAAACUAGACUGGCCUUUCUCCUGACAUCACACUUCAAUCAAAAACUUUCUCGCAAAAUGUCACUUUCAAAGUUGCAGCUUUGAAAAAAAAAAAAAAAGAAAAAAAACUCUUUAUAAAAAAUUCAUGGCCACAAUGAUCUGAUAAUGCAGCUUUCUGAUACCAGCAGAUGUUUUGUCUAACAUGUUCCCUGAAGCUGUACUCUGUGCCUUCAUAUCUUUCAUUUCCAGUUGCUAUCUGCUGACUGUGGGAUGUCAUGUACGUACCCUAUAGCGAUGCACAGCAAUUCGCAUCUCACACCGCCGUGCGUAAUGAGCUUCACAAGAUGCUUGUCGCAAUAACUCCGCACUUCCCCAACCAUAUGGAACACAACACUCCAAAGCCCACAGACACUUUUUUUUAUUACAGUUCAGAUCCUUAAAACAUAAUCUGUGUGAUGUCUAGUGAAUGUACGUGAAGAGCUGCUGAAAACAAAGUUAACACUUGUUCACAUCAUCUGUUACAAAUGUCCAAUUUGGGACAAUAAAUUUCCUCGG